GCGAAAUGCGAUAAGUAAUGUGAAUUGCAGAAUUCAGUGAAUCAUCGAAUCUUUGAACGCACCUUGCGCUCCUUGGUAUUCCUUGGAGCAUGCCUGUUUGAGUAUCAUGAAAUCUUCAAAGUAAAUCUUUUGUUAACUCAAUUGGUUUCUACUUUGGUAUUGGAGGUCUUUGCAGCUUCACACCUGCUCCUCUUUGUUCAUUAGCUGGAUCUCGGUGUUAUGCUUGGUUCCACUCGGCGUGAUAAGUUAUCUAUCGCUGAGGACACUGUAAAAGGUGGCCAAGGUAAAUGCAGAUGAACCGCUUCUAAUAGUCCAUUGACUUGGACAAUACUUUUAUGAUCUGAUCUCAAAUCAGGUAGGACUACCCGCUGAACUUAA
rnacentral:misc_RNA from 1 species